rnacentral:rRNA from 1 species
GGGCCGAUUAGAAGCUGAACGCUAACCUGCAGUCGACGGCAGCACCGUACGAGCUUGCUCUUACGGGUGGCGAGUGGCGGACGGGUGAGGAAUGCAUCGGAUCUACUCUGUCGUGGGGGAUAACGUAGGGAAACUUACGCUAAUACCGCAUACGACCUACGGGUGAAAGCAGGGGAUCUUCGGACCUUGCGCGAUUGAAUGAGCCGAUGCCCGAUUAGCUAGUUGGCGGGGUAAGAGCCCACCAAGGCGACGAUCGGUAGCUGGUCUGAGAGGAUGAUCAGCCACACUGGAACUGAGACACGGUCCAGACUCCUACGGGAGGCAGCAGUGGGGAAUAUUGGACAAUGGGCGCAAGCCUGAUCCAGCCAUACCGCGUGGGUGAAGAAGGCCUUCGGGUUGUAAAGCCCUUUUGUUGGGAAAGAAAAGCAGCCGGUUAAUACCCGGUUGUUCUGACGGUACCCAAAGAAUAAGCACCGGCUAACUUCGUGCCAGCAGCCGCGGUAAUACGAAGGGUGCAAGCGUUACUCGGAAUUACUGGGCGUAAAGCGUGCGUAGGUGGUUGUUUAAGUCUGUCGUGAAAGCCCUGGGCUCAACCUGGGAAUGGCGAUGGAAACUGGGCGACUAGAGUGUGGCAGAGGGUAGUGGAAUUCCUGGUGUAGCAGUGAAAUGCGUAGAGAUCAGAGGAACAUCCGUGGCGAAGGCGACUGCCUGGGCCACACUGACACUGAGGCACGAAAGCGUGGGGAGCAAACAGGAUUAGAUACCCUGGUAGUCCCGCCUAAACGAUGCGACUGAUGUGGUGCAUUUGCACGCAGUAUCGAGCUACGCGUUAAGUCGCGCUGGAGUACGU